AGAUUGAACGCUGGCGGCAUGCCUUACACAUGCAAGUCGAACGGCAGCACGGGAGCAAUCCUGGUGGCGAGUGGCGAACGGGUGAGUAAUAUAUCGGAACGUGCCCAGUAAUGGGGGAUAGCCCGGCGAAAGCCGGAUUAAUACCGCAUACGACCUACGGGUGAAAGCGGGGGAUUCGCAAGAACCUCGCGUUAUUGGAGCGGCCGAUAUCAGAUUAGCUUGUUGGCGGGUAAAAGCCCACCAAGGCAACGAUCUGUAGCUGGUCUGAGAGGACGACCAGCCACACUGGGACUGAGACACGGCCCAGACUCCUACGGGAGGCAGCAGUGGGAAUUUUGGACAAUGGGCGCAAGCCUGAUCCAGCCAUGCCGCGUGUGGGAAGAAGGCCUUCGGUUGUAAACCACUUUUGUCAGGUAAGAAACGGCUCCUAACUAAUAGUUGGAGCUAAUGACGGUACCAGUAAGAAUAAGCAACCGGCUAACGUACGUGCCAGCAGCCG
rnacentral:rRNA from 1 species